UAGCCCAGUGUUCUCCAGUCCAUGACUUCCUCACAGUGUGGCCAAUUGGAGAUUAUGAACCAUGACUGCUCGCCCAUCACAGUUUCUAAUGCUCAGCACGUGUGGCACAGAUUUAAGGAAUACAAAGGCUC
ensembl:miRNA Mir6376 microRNA 6376